ACGUCAUUACAAGUGAGACGUUGAGUGGAGGGACUUCCCUUUGGUAGUUUCUUCAGAGUCUACACUGUACAGUUCUCAUCUCACUGACAAAACACAGCAUUUGGUAAUUUCGGCUCUUCUUCCUUCGCUUCAUAUAUCUAUUCUCUAGACACACCUUCACCUAAUCAAACUUAUCUUAACAAAUAAGUUAUUCUUUAUUUUAUCUUCGCGAUUCGUCCCUCGCUCUUUCAACAAACAAGCAAGAGAUAUCGAGAAAUGGCGUUCAGGCUUAGCUCCGCCGACGUCGUCGGAUUCAAGUUCCUAUUUUCUCUUGCGAUUAUGUACGCUCUCAUAUCGGCCCUUGUUUACUCUAUAGUUCACAUGAAGUUCAUUAAGCCGCUCGCGAUCGAUGCGCCUCUUGAUCGCUUCUCCGAGGCCAGAGCCGUUGAACAUGUUCGAGUUUUGACCCAAGACGGUCGCCAAGAAGGGCGUCCUGGCUUAAGAGAAGCUGCUACGUAUAUUAAAACGCAGUUGGAAUCGAUAGAGGACAGAGCUGGAUCAAACAUCAGAAUUGAGAUUGAAGAGAGUAUUGUUAAUGGCUCCUUCAAUAUGGUAUUUUUAGGACACAGCAUAUCUUUUGGGUACAGAAAUCAUACAAAUAUUAUCAUGAGGAUAUCGUCUACAGAUUCAAAAGACACUGAUCCAUCUGUUUUAAUUAAUGGCCAUUUUGAUAGUCCACUUGGUUCACCUGGAGCUGGUGAUUGUGGUACAUGUGUUGCAUCAAUGCUGGAACUAGCAAGACUUAUUGUAGACUCUGGUUGGAUACCACCCCGGCCCAUUAUUUUUCUUUUUAAUGGCGCAGAGGAACUAUUUAUGUUGGGUGCACAUGGCUUCAUGAAGACAUAUAAAUGGCGUGAUUCAAUUGGAGCUUCAAUUAAUGUGGAAGCAUCUGGAACAGGAGGUUUGGAUUUAGUCUGCCAAUCUGGACCUGGUGCUUGGCCUUCCCUAGUCUAUGCUGAGGCUGCAAUAUACCCCAUGGCACAUAGUGCAGCCCAGGAUGUUUUUCCUGUUAUUCCUGGAGACACAGAUUACAGAAUAUUUUCCCAAGAUUAUGGAAGCAUUCCUAGCCUGGAUAUUAUCUUUCUUCUUGGUGGUUACUACUACCAUACCUCCUAUGAUACGUUGGACAAACUACUACCUGGUAGCAUGCAAGCACGUGGAGACAAUUUGUUCAGUAUUCUUAAAGCCUUUACAAAUUCUUCUAAGCUGCGAACUUCCCAAGAAAGAGAAGCUCUCAGAGCUACUUCAAAUGAUUACAGGGAUGAACGGGCUGUUUUCUUUGAUUACUUAUCAUGGUUCAUGAUAUUCUAUUCAAGAAGAGUAGCUGUGAUACUCCAUAGCAUUCCUUUUGCCAUCUUUAUUGUUAUGCCAUUACUUUUGCGUUUUCUGGAUUUAGGGUUACGAUAUUGGUUUGCAACCUUCUGUGAUUUUGUCAAAGGAUUGCUGUUUCAUAUUGCUGCAAUUUUAUUGGCAAUUAUUUUCCCUGUUAUCUUCUCCAUUAUGAGGUUAUUUUUCUCCAGUCAUGCGAUGAACUGGUUUGCUCAUCCAUACUUGGCUUUCAUGAUGUUCGUUCCCUGCUCACUUGUUGGUUUGUUGAUUCCAAGGACUGUUUGGAGUUGUUUUCCCCUCUCUCAAGAUGUUUCAGUUCUCAAGAAAUCGAAGGAGGUGCUAUCAAAUGAAGCUUGGUUUUGGGGAGCAUUUGGAUUGUAUGCUUGCUUAACUUUGGCUUAUCUUGUUGCUGGGCUCAGUGGAGGGUUCUUGACCUUUUCCGUGUCAGCUUUUAUGCUUCCUGCUUGGAUCUUCUUUAACAUAUAUAUCAAGUCUUAUCAUGAUCAAUCGCUCAGGUCAACAGUCAUCUACGUAUUACCUUUACUUCCAUGUAUCAUGUAUUCAGUUUAUUUUGGUGGAUUUCUUGUCCAAUUUUUGAUUGAGAAGAUGGGUAUGAUGGGUGCUGUUCCUCCACCAUAUGGAUUUUAUAUUGCUGAUGGUGUAGUGGCAGCAACAAUUGGAGUUGUGACUGGUUGGUGUGUGGGUCCUUUGCUACCUAUUUGCGGCCAUUGGUUGGCCAGGUCCUCCAUCAUUCAGUUCUUGUUGCAUAUUAGUGUGCUUGCAUUGGCUUUCUCAUCGCAGUUCUUUCCCUACAGCAACACUGCCCCUAAGAGGGUUGUUUUUCAGCAUACAGUUGUUACUGCAGAUGGAAAUAGGAUUGUGGACUCCAGUUAUGAUUUUUCUGUAGUGGAUUCCAAUUCUUUACUUUUUCUUUUUAAACAUGCUCCUGAAGUUGCAAAGGAUUUGCACGUUGGUACGGAUUUUUCUUUCAAAACUGCAAAUACGUCUCACCGAGAGACUUGGAUGGCUCUUUUUCCAGUAUCUCAUCUGUUUUCAAGAAGUUUGAAGUUCCCUGCAAGGAGUGAUGACAUUAUUAAGCAAUAUAGAUAUUUCCCCCGUUUGUCUAAUUACAAGCCUGGUACUUUUUCUAGCAGGGGAUCUAGGAGAGUUUACUUGGAACUUUCCUUAGGUGACUUGAAAGAGGUCUGGGUUGCAGUCCUUAACAUUACAGGUCCCUUAUCAAGUUGGUCACUUGCGGACAAUAUACUUCCAGCUCCUGAAGCGAUUGAUGGUGGUCCCCCAUCAUAUAUAUGUAGACUUAGUGGAGCUAGUGAUGAUAAAUGGACCUUCUGGCUAGAGGUAAAGCUCUGUCCUUUCUGAAAUUAUGAUUUUUCCCCCCAUUUUACGUUUGACUGUUAUUGCCAAUUGCUGCCCCUAACAUAUGAGUGUCCCUUGAAUGGCAUCGAGUACUUACAUUGUUUUGAUUUACUGAUCAUCACGAACUUAAUGAAAACUCAGGUGCUCCCCUUUGGACUUGUGCUAAGAAUUUUCUUAAUUGUAUCAUAAAAAUUAGAAUGUUAUCUUGAUUUUGGUAAAUAAUCAUCUCAUAUGAAUCCUGGUCUAUUUGUAUUUUCAAGUCUUGUUAAAUGGUCCAAUAAUCUCAAGUGUGCACAUUGAUUGUAUGUUGCAAUCUACUGAAAACCAUCAUUGUUUAGUAUCUCUGAUGAUCCCACAAGGUGUUCUCCCCUUCCCUCCUUCCUUUCUCUCACCGCCUGCAUUUUUGGGCAAUGCAAGCAAUUCUAAUGAUUUGAGGGUGGAGCUUGCUGUGAUUGACCAAGUUUUGGUUGAUCGAGCUAAAAAUUUGAGGGGCCUUUUCCCUGACUGGGUGGACGUCACUGCUUAUGCUAGCUUUAUGUCCAGCUACAUCUUUUAGUUCUUCCAUACCUGCUGAAACACAUAUUGGAUAAACAAUUCUGUCCAAGACAGACAAUAAAAUUUAGUUUUGACACUCA